AGGACAUAGGACACAAAAUGUAACAGAGGGUCAGUCUGUAUUACUGACUUGUGGAGAGCCAGGAAGACACGACUGGUUUAUAGGCAGUAAGCAGAUCUCUGCUGACCGCAGAAGACAAAUGGACAAACAUGGGGAUCUUCACUUUGCGUACGUGGAUGUGUCAGAUACUGCAGAGUAUAGAUGCGGGAUUUCCAGUAACAGCAGAGUGAAACUUGUCCACCCUGUCACGUUGAACGUCAUGGAAGGUAACGUCACCAAAACAAGUCCCAAACUCAUCUACUCUACUGAAGCAACAAAUGUUUCUCUUGGUCAUGACGUCACACAACAGUGUAUAUUCAG